rnacentral:lncRNA from 1 species
CUGCAAAGAGUUUAACUCUAAAGCUUGUAAAAAUAACAAUUAUUGGCUUGGGUAGCUGUUCUGAUGAAAGAGCAGAGAAGCUAUGCGCAACAUCUGACCAUAGUGUAAUCUUAGCCUCUUUAUUUCUGUAAAAGAAGAAGAAGAAGAACAACAACAAAGCUUUUUCCCACUAAGUGGGGUCGGCUAUAUGAAUCCUAGAACGCCAUUGCGCUCGGUUGUGUGUCAUGUCCUCCGUUAGAUCCAAGUACUCUAAGUCUUUUAUUAGGGUCUCUUCCAAAGUUUUCCUAGGUCUUCCUCUACCCCUUCGGCCCUGAACCUCUGUCCCGUGGUCACAUCUAACUAACAGUUUAAAGGAGAUGGAUACGUGUAAAAGAACUGUGCAUUACACAUAGUAAACUAAAAAAUGAAUGUACCAUUUGACAACAUAAAAUAGAAGAAUAAAGAGUUUAGAGAUCAAUUGUAUACAAUCUUUACUACAGAGAGUAUAAAAACCAUGUCAUGUGCAUUAAAACAAAUAACUCAUCCUUAACACAGAAGAUCAAAUGUUUAUAAACUAAUUUUACGAAAAAAUGAUCACUAACCUUUUCAUCAACCAAUAUACAAUGUAAGGUUGUAUAUUUAUCGCCCAUGCCUGGAUACUUUGGUUUCCAUAUUCUACAAACACACACUUUAAUUUUGACAACCAUUUAUAUGCCACCAAUUGGUCAAGUGGAGUUGGACCUUCAUCUUCCAUUUAAUCUAUACAAAUGAAAUACAAAAUUAAUCUUUUACACACACACACAUACACAAAGCAAGUGCUUCCUAAUCCAAAGAGUCAAUCACAAUAAAGCAGCAGAUUAGUGAAUAGUCAAUCAUGAUUUCUUUUGAGGCCAAAAAACCUCAUUAGUGAUGGUGAAUCAAUAUGGAAGUCGCUCUAGAUUAGCGAUGAUGAUUUUAAAAUGGACACUGAAGAGCCAUUCAUUGAACGAUGUAACUAUUAAAUCUGUUAAAUUGCAGCAGGAAAAGCUUAACAUACACUCUUAAAUUGAGAUGCUGGUCCAAGAGUCAUAAAUAGUUACCAAUAUGUAUUAUCAUCCGCAACAACUAUCAAAUUAAUUCUUUUGAUUACUUAGUUACCGACAUAGCUAUUAUUCCUGACAAACUAAUGAUGGUAAGUGAUUAUCUAUAAACAAACCCUUCUUCCAAUUGCUAUUUUCUUAGUUGCCAAAAUCUUCCACCACGACGAUAAAAAUAGCCAUAUUUUCAUGAAGGUAUACCCACUGUAUAUAGUUACACAUCUAAACCCAAAUCUGUAUACCACAUACGAAUGCCAAAUCAACUAAUUUGAAAAAAAAUAUUAAAGGUCAAGACCAAUAACAAACGGGAACUUUACAUUUCAUUGAAAUAUAAAUUGCAAGUUUAACAUGAAAACUAGACCAAUCUACACAAAAAUAACGUAAAAACUAAUUGAAAGUUUCUAAACGAAGGCAAAACCAACAACAACAACAACAAAGCCUUUUCCCACUAAGUGGGGUCGGCUAUAUGAAUCCUAGAACGCCAUUGCGCUCGGUUUUGUGUCAUGUCCUCCGUUAGAUCCAAGUACUCAAGUCUUUUCUUAGGGUCUCUUCCAAAGUUUUCCUAGGUCUUCCUCUACCCCUUCGGCCCUGAACCUCUGUCCCGUAGUCACAUUUUCGAACCGGAGCGUCAGUAGGCCUUCUUUGCACAUGUCCAAACCACCGGAACCGAUUUUCUCUCAUAUUUCCUUCAAUUUUGGCUACUCCUACUUUACCUCGGAUAUCCUCAUUCCCAAUCUUAUCAUUUCUCGUGUGCCCAUACAUCCCACGAAGCAUCCUCAUCUCCGCUACACCCAUUUUGUGUACGUGUUGAUGCUUCACCGCCCAACAUUCUGUGCCAUACAACAUCGCUGGCCUUAUUGCCGUCCUAUAAAAUUUUCCCUUGAGCUUCAGUGGCCUACGACGGUCACACAACACGCCGGAUGCACUCUUACACUUCAUCCAUCCAGCUUGUAUUCUAUGGUUGAGAUCUCCAUCUAAUUCUCCGUUCUCUUGCAAGAUAGAUCCUAGGUAGCGAAAACGGUCACUUUUUGUGAUCUUCGCUAGAUUGCUCCGGUCAUUAGUGUAGAUAAGUAUAUAAAUGGAUAGAGAUAGGAGAGCAAACACAAGAUGUACGUGGUUCACCCAGAUUGGCUACGUCCACGGAAUAGAGGAGUUCUCAUUAAUUGUGAAGGGUUUACACAAGUACAUAGGUUCAAGCUCUCCUUUAGUGAGUACAAGUGAAUGAUUUAGUACAAAUGACAUUAGGAAAUAUUGUGGGAGAAUGAUCUCGUAACCACGAAACUUCUAAGUACCGGAGUGUGGUAUCGUCUUGACUUGCCUUAUCUGUCUCAUAGGUACAUGUGGCAUAUUCUCUGGAAGUACUCUUCCUCCAUCCAGGGGUGGUAUCUGUAACUGGUGGAGAUGCACAAGGUAAUGUAUCAAUUUCACUUGAAGCUUACUUGUAGUUUCAGGCUUGGCCAAGUGCGAUACAAACCAUGUAGUAGGAGUCCCCCAAGUCGCCGAGCUAGGGGAUCUGCUGAAAGAGGUGACAGACAAGGUAAGCAAUCAGAGCUCCGGCUGAUUGUUCACAUUCUCCCUAUCUUGCAGGCAGCAUGAAGGAUAAAGAGAAGAAAAAUGAGAAGAGAUGAUAUGGGAUACUUUUGCUUUUGAAGAAGUAACUUUCCACAGGCUUAUUCUUGAACUGGGCUGGAGGGUUUUUUGGUUUCCUCCAGAGUAUAAGGCCGACUGAAGAAUUUGAGGGUCAAAACAAGUCCAUCAAAUCUAGUGUACGUUCGACCCUGCUGAUAUGGGAUACUUUUGCUUUUGACAGAGUAGUGGAUGUAUCGGCACGUGUGCUGUUACGCUUGUCUCCACAUGCUUCCUUGUAUCCUUCUCACUUGCCCUAUCUGUUCCUCAGGCAGAUGCGGUAUCUUCCCUGGAAGCAUAAGAUGUUGAAGAUGAGUACUCGAGAGCAAUGCCAGGUAAGUAAUCAGGUAAGGGGUUCCAGGCAGUCAGUUCCUGGCUGGAAGCUUGAUUCCAAGUGCUGACUGAUUGCUCUCUUUCUCCUUGUCUUGCAGGUAAGAACAAGGCCAAAGGAAAAGACAGGGAAAAAGCAUGAUAUGGGAUACUCUUGCUUUUAACCCUGAUGAUAUGAGAUAUUCUUGCUCUAGUAUAGCUUGUUUACAAAUGUAUUAUCGGGGGGAAAGAAAGCUGAAUAUUUCGAAAGGCUUCGUUGGGAGUGCCCUCUCAGAUAAGAGGAAGGGUUGAGCAUUUUUGCAGGUAUGCCUGUCCGUUGGGGAUGGAGGUCGACAUAUAUAGGAGUCUCCCUAACAUCAAGUAAUAAUGCUAUUCCUUUACCCUGCUUGAUCAUAGUACGGUAGUGGGAGCUGCCAGCUUCACAUGUUUUAACUCUGUCAGAGCACUUUGAAAAAGUGGUCUGUGGUAUCUGGAAAGCUGAUGUUGCGUGUGAAGAUUACAGAGAAGCUUUAUCCAAGGAGAUCCAGCUCCUGAAGUUGGGAAAGUGGUGCCUCUUCGGUUUUCGAACAAGCAAUCCUGUCGGGGAUCUGGCUCUCGAGAUUCGGAGAACGAUGCCUUUUCGAUUUUUGAGAAAAUAAUCCUGCUGGGGGUCUGGCUCUCGAGAUUCGGAGAGCGGUGUCUCUUCGAUUUUUGAGAAAGUAAUCAUGUUGGGAGUCCGGCUCUCGAGAUUCUGAGGGCGGUGCCUCUUCGAUUUUGGAGCAAGCAAUCUUGUUGGGAGUGUUUUCUCGAAUAUGAGUAAAGGUUGGGCAUGUUUGCUAGUCUACCUUGCCACGAAACACAGAGGUUGACACACAGGGACUUUCCAAUUAUCCAGCAGUGGUACUGUUCCUUUACCAUCUCUUCGAUUUUUUAGAAAGUAAUCAUGUUGGGAGUCUGGCUCUCGAGAUUCGGAGGGCGAUGCCUCUUCGAUUUUGGAGCAAGCAAUCUUGUUGGGAGUGUUUUCUCGAAUAUGAGUAAAGGUUGGGCAUGUUUGCUAGUCUACCUUGCCACGAAGCACAGAGGUUGACACACAGGGACUUUCUAAUUAUCCAGCAGUGGUACUGUUCCUUUACCUUCUCUUCAAUUUUUGAGAAAGUAAUCAUGUUGGGAGUCUGGCUCUCGAGAUUCGGAGGGCGGUGCCUCUUCGAUUUUGGAGCAAGCAAUCUUGUUGGGAGUGUUUUCUCGAAUGUGAGUAAAGGUUGGACAUGUUUUCUAGUCUACCUUGCCACAAAGCACAGAGGUUGACACACCGGGACUUUCCAAUUAUCCAGCAGUGGUACUGUUCCUUUACCCUUGUGGGUAAUAAUAUGGUAGCUAGACCUUCAAAAUUUAUGUGUCUAAACUUUGUUAGUGUUGUUUCUUUGCUAUUCUUUUACCCUUCUUGGUCAGAGCGAUGUAGUAGGAGCUGGAAGCUUCACGUGUCUCAACUUUGUCAGAGAACUUUGACAAAGUUAUCUGUGGUACCCAUGAGCUACUGUUGCGUGUGGGAAGUGGGUGAUUGAACAGUACGAUUCAUGUGCUUUUUACUUCGCCAGAAAUCUUCGACAGAAUGCCCAUAAUUUCCGCAAAGCUGAGUGUGCGUGUGACAGGUGCUGACAAGGCUGGAAAAGUAGGUGCCUCUUCGAUUUCUGAGAUCGGCCCUCGUGGUCUCUGAGCAGCCCAGCUUUUGAGAAAGCAAGCCUCUUCGAUUUCUGAGAUCGGCCGUCGUGGUUUUUGAGCAUCCCAGCUUUUGAGAAAGCAAACGCCUCUUCGAUUUCUGAGAUCGACCCUCGUGGUCUCUGAGCAGCCCAGCUUUUGAGAAAGCAAACGCCUCUUCGAUUUCUGAGCAGGCGCCUCUUCGAUUUCUGAAGCUUCGUCGAGUGCAGAUUUUUAUAGGGGCUGACAUUAAGUUCCAAAGCACACUUGAAUAUCCACCAGUAGAAGCUCCAUUCUUGCACUUCUAAGAUCUUGAUUUGUCCGACCUCUUCUCUCUUCAACACCUUUGAAAAUGUCUGGCCCCUCCGACCGUCGUUUUGACUUGAACCUUGUUGAAGAGGCAGCCCCACAUUCUCCAGACAACAUAUGGCGCCCAUCCUUCGUCUCCCCUACUGGUCCUCUUACCGUUGGGGAUUUCGUGAUGAAGAAUGAUAUGACCGCUGCGGUAGUGGCCAGGAACCUUCUCACUCCCAAAGAUAACAGACUACUUUCCAAACGGUCUGAUGAGUUGGCUGUUAAGGAUUCUCUGGCUCUCAGUGUUCAGUGUGCAAGUUCUGUGUCUAAUAUGGCCGAACGCCUAUUUGCUCGAACCCGCCAUGUUGAAUCAUUGGCGGCUGAAGUGAUGAGUCUCAAACAGGAGAUUAGAGGGCUCAAGCAUGAGAAUAAACAGUUGCACCGGCUCGCACAUGACUAUGCUACAAACAUGAAAAUGAAGCUUGACCAGAUGAAGGAAUCUGAUGGUCAGGUUUUACUUGAUCAUCAGAGAUUUGUGGGUUUGUUCCAAAGGCAUUUAUUGCCUUCGUCUUCUGGGGCUGUACCGCGUAAUGAAGCUCCAAAUGAUCAACCUCUGAUGCCUCCUCCUUCUAGGGUUCUGUCCAGUACUGAGGCUCCGAAUGAUCCCCCUCCGGUGCCUUCUCUUUCUGGGGCUCUACCGAUUGCUGAGACUUCUCCUAAGCAACCUUUGUGAAGGCUCCCUCUUGUUUGUUUAUUUUGACUCAAGUAUAUGUACAUAUUUGUAACUUAUCGGGGAUAUCAAUAAAUAAGCUUUCCUUCAUUUCAACGUAUUGUGUUAAAUACACCAAAGCCUUUUUCGCUAAGUUCUUUGAAUUUUCUUUUGUUGAAGCUUGUCUGUUGAAGCUUUGUGAGUGGAGCAUGUAGGUUGAGGUAGUGUUCCCUUAAUUUCCCGAGUGAGGAAAACUUCUCGGUUGGAGACUUGGAAAAUCCAAGUCACUGAGUGGGAUUGGCUAUAUGAAUCUUAGAACGCCAUUGUGUUCUGUCCUGUGUCAUGUCCUCCGUUAGAUCCAAGUACUCUAAGUCUUUUCUUAGGGUCUCUUCCAAAGUUUUCCUAGGUCUUCCUCUACCCCUUCGGCCCUGAACCUCUGUCCCAUAGUCGCAUCUUCUAAUCGGAGCGUCAGUAGGCCUUCUUUGCACAUGUCCAAACCACCGUAACCGAUUUUCUCUCAUCUUUCCUUCAAUUUCGGCUACUCCUACUUUACCCCGGAUAUCCUCAUUCCUAAUCUUAUCCUUUCUCGUGUGCCCACACAUCCAACGAAGCAUCCUCAUCUCCGCUACACCCAUUUUGUGUACGUGUUAAUGCUUCACCGCCCAACAUUCUGUGCCAUACAGCAUCGCCGGCCUUAUUGCCGUCCUAUAAAAUUUUGCCUUGAGCUUCAGUGGCAUACGGCGGUCACACAACACGCCGGAUGCACUCUUUCACUUCAUCCAUCCAGCUUGUAUUCUAUGGUUAAGAUCUCCAUCUAAUUCUCCGUUCUUUUGCAAGAUAGAUCCUAGGUAACGAAAACGGUCGCUCUUUGGUAUUUCUUGAUCUCCGAUCCUCACCCCUAACUCGUUUUGACUUCCAUUUGCACUGAACUUGCACUCCAUAUAUUCUGUCUUUGAUCGGCUUAGGCGAAGACCUUUAGAUUCCAACACUUCUCUCCAAAGGUUAAGCUUUGCAUUUACCCCUUCCUGAGUUUCAUCUAUCAACACUAUAUCGUCUGCAAAAAGCAUACACCAAGGAAUAUCAUCUUGAAUAUGUCCUGUUAACUCAUCCAUUACCAACGCAAAAAGGUAAGGACCUAAGGAUGAGCCUUGAUGUAAUCCUACAGUUAUGGGAAAGCUUUCGGUUUGUCCUUCAUGAGUUCUUACGGCAGUCUUUGCUCCUUCAUACAUAUCCUGUAUAGCUUGGAUAUAUGCUACUCGUACUUCUUUCUUCUCUAAAAUCCUCCAAAGAAUGUCUCUUGGGAUCCUAUCAUACGCUUUUUCCAAAUCUAUAAAGACCAUGUGUAAAUCCUUUUUCCCAUCUUUAUAUCUUUCCAUCAAUCUUCGUAAGAGAUAGAUUGCCUCCAUGGUUGAGCGCCCUGGCAUGAACCCGAAUUGGUUGUUCGAAAUCCGUGUCUCUUGCCUCAAUCUAUGCUCAAUGACUCUCUCCCAGAGCUUCAUUGUAUGACUCAUUAGCUUAAUACCUCUAUAGUUCAUGCAAUUUUGUACAUCGCCCUUAUUCUUGUAGAUAGGCACCAAAGUGCUCGUUCGCCACUCAUUUGAUCUGAAAUAAUUAAAACAACUAAACAUAGCACUCAAAUAACUCCAUAAAAAGCAAAAAGUCUAAAAACCCAUUACCUAACAAAGAUAGCAAGAAAUCUUUGUGCAAAUCGUCAAGAGAGAACCUGUGAAACGCUGAACACAAAAGUACAAAAAAAAGGAAAAAAAAACAAUUAAAAUUCGAUGCUCAAAACGAAAUAACAUUACACACGGUAGACUAACAACAUCACAGUAGCAGGGAAAUAACAGAAGCUAAAAAGCAAAACAAAUACAAAGACAAAAAACAGAACAAAAAAGAGAACAAAACUUACAAACCUAGAUUUGGAAGCAGCAAAAACACAAAUGGGACAACCCAGAACUCCAAAACAAAAGAAAACAACUAAAGAGAGAGAAAUAAGAAAGGAAAGCUAAAAUGGAAAAGGUGAGGGAUGAUCGACACGUGGCGGAAGCUAAACCGAAAGCCAAAAAAACCAGCAAAACCAAAAACAACAAAAAGCAUCUUUCCCACAGGAAGAAGAGGCGG